UACGGGGGGGGCAAGCGUUGUUCGGAAUUACUGGGCGUAAAGGGCUCGUAGGCGGCCAACUAAGUCGGAUGUGAAAUCCCCAAGCUUAACUUGGGAACUGCAUCCGAUACUGGAUGGCUUGAAUCCGGGAGAGGGAUGCAGAAUUCCAGGUGUAGCGGUGAAAUGCGUAGAUAUCUGGAGGAAUACCAGUGGCGAAGGCGGCAUCCUGGACCGGCAUUGACGCUGAGGAGCGAAAGCUAGGGGAGCAAACGGG
rnacentral:rRNA from 1 species